AUAUGCAUUUUUAUCAUUCAGAUCAAUUCUUUCCAGCGUACCAUUAACCACACUAUGCAAAAUAUCAGAUGAAUUCAAAUAAUUCAACUUAAGAACAACAUUAAUAGAACUUAACCUCCUCAAACCUGAUCCGACCAUACAAAGCUUUCCAGUACCCGAAUCCCAGAAACCGGAAACCCGAAUCUCCCUCGAAUUCCCGAAGCCUUCGGUAGGAAACCUCGGUGGCCGAUGAUAAACUAGCCGAAGUUGCCGCCGGUGUAGAAAUUCACCGAAAAAAUCCGGACCAAUUCUUCCUGCAAACCUUAAACCACCCUCAAUUUUAAAUAUUUUACCAUUUUGGGUCGGAUAAACAUUCUUUGUGUAGAAAUUAAGGGUUUUCGGCUUGAAUUUCCCGGCAUUAUCAGCCGGCGCGUGUAUGUACGCGUUGUUGAGAGUGAGGAGAAACGACGUAGCGUUGAAAGGGGU
rnacentral:misc_RNA from 1 species